rnacentral:lncRNA from 10 species
AUUGGCAAGUUCCCCUGCAGUUGUUUGGGCUGUCCCUGUGGCUGGUUCUGGGGUGUGCGGCCAGCCAUGGAGCGCUCUGGGCCCAGCGAAGUGACAGGCUCAGACGCGUCGGGACCGGACCCGCAGCUUGCGGUCACCAUGGGCUUCACGGGGUUCGGUAAAAAAGCUCGCACAUUUGACUUGGAAGCAAUGUUUGAACAAACUCGAAGGACAGCUGUGGAAAGAAGUCGCAAAACACUGGGUAAGAAGCUCAGAUAUUUGUUCUUUUAUUGGUUUAAGUACUAUGUAUACCUCAUGCAAGUAUAUUAAAAAAGAGAAAAGAAUGUUGGCUGGGCGCGGUGGCUCAUGCCUGUAAUCCCAGCACU